rnacentral:rRNA from 1 species
AUUGAACGCUGGCGGCAGGCCUAACCCAUGCAAGUCGAGCGAGCGGCGGACGGGUGAGUAAUGUAUGGGGAACUGCCCGAUGGAGGGGGAUAACUACUGGAAACGGUAGCUAAUACCGCAUACCAUCGGAUGUGCCCAGAUGGGAUUAGCUAGUAGGUGGGGUAACGGCUCACCUAGGCGAAGAUCCCUAGCUGGUCUGAGAGGAUGACCAGCCACACUGGAACUGCGACACGGUCCAGACUCCUACGGGAGGCAGCAGGGGGGAAUAUUGCACAAGGGGCGCAAGCCUGAUGCAGCCAUGCCGCGUGUAUGAAGAAGGCCCUAGGGUUGUAAAGUACUUUCAGUCGGGAGGCGUUACCGACAGAAGAAGCACCGGCUAACUCCGUGCCAGCAGCCGCGGUAAUUC